AUUGAACGCUGGCGGCAGGCCUAACACAUGCAAGUCGUGCGAGCGGCGGACGGGUGAGUAAUGUAUGGGGAUCUGCCUGAUGGAGGGGUCUAACUACUGGAAACGGUAGCUAAUACCGCAUACCAUCAGAUGAACCCAUAUGGGAUUAGCUAGUAGGGGAGGUAACGGCGUACCUAGGCGACGAUCCCUAGCUGGUCUGAGAGGAUGAUCAGCCAAACUGGGACUGAGACACAGCCCAGACUCCUACGGGAGGCAGCAGGGGGGAAUAUUGCACAAUGGGCGCAAGCCUGAUGCAGCCAUGCCGCGUGUAUGAAGAAGGCCUUCGGGUUGUAAAGUACUUUCAGUCGGGAGGCGUUACCGACAGAAGAAGCACCGGCUAACUCCGUGCCAGCAGCCGCGGUAAUUC
rnacentral:rRNA from 1 species